UCCCCAGUGGUCCAGUGGUUAGGACUCAGCACUUUUACUGCCAGGCCCCGGGUUCGAUCCCUGGUUGGGGAA